rnacentral:tRNA from 1 species
CAAAUUAGAGCUUGAGUAUAAGUAUUUCAUUUACAUUGAAAUGAUAUUGAAAAUUUACAAUUAAUUUGA